rnacentral:rRNA from 1 species
ACGGUGAAGCCCAGCUUGCUGGGUGGAUCAGUGGCGAACGGGUGAGUAACACGUGAGCAACCUGCCCCGGACUCUGGGAUAAGCGCUGGAAACGGCGUCUAAUACUGGAUACGAGACGCAACCGCAUGGUUAGUGUCUGGAAAGAUUUUUCGGUCUGGGAUGGGCUCGCGGCCUAUCAGCUUGUUGGUGAGGUAAUGGCUCACCAAGGCGUCGACGGGUAGCCGGCCUGAGAGGGUGACCGGCCACACUGGGACUGAGACACGGCCCAGACUCCUACGGGAGGCAGCAGUGGGGAAUAUUGCACAAUGGGCGGAAGCCUGAUGCAGCAACGCCGCGUGAGGGAUGACGGCCUUCGGGUUGUAAACCUCUUUUAGCAAGGAAGAAGCGAAAGUGACGGUACUUGCAGAAAAAGCGCCGGCUAACUACGUGCCAGCAGCCGCGGUAAUACGUAGGGCGCAAGCGUUAUCCGGAAUUAUUGGGCGUAAAGAGCUCGUAGGCGGUCUGUCGCGUCUGCUGUGA